GACGAACGCUGGCGGCGUGCUUAACACAUGCAAGUCGAACGGCAAGGCCCUGCUUUUGUGGGGUGCUCGAGUGGCGAACGGGUGAGUAACACGUGAGUAACCUGCCCUUGACUUUGGGAUAACUUCAGGAAACUGGGGCUAAUACCGGAUAGCAGCUCCUGCUGCAUGGUGGGGGUUGGAACGUUUCGGCGGUUGGGGAUGGACUCGCGGCUUAUCAGCUUGUUGGUGGGGUAGUGGCUUACCAAGGCUUUGGCGGGUAGCCGGCCUGAGAGGGUGACCGGCCACAUUGGGACUGAGAUACGGCCCAGACUCCUACGGGAGGCAGCAGUGGGGAAUAUUGCACAAUGGGCGGAAGCCUGAUGCAGCAACGCCGCGUGCGGGAUGACGGCCUUCGGGUUGUAAACCGCUUUCGCCUGUGACGAAGCGUGAGUGACGGUAAUGGGUAAAGAAGCACCGGCUAACUACGUG
rnacentral:rRNA from 1 species